rnacentral:lncRNA from 1 species
AGAGGGAGGCCGCCCCUUUUUCUCCUCUGCUAGGGUUUUGAACCCAGUUCCCCAGACCGCCACCAACAACUAGGCCGCUUUAGGGCCUCCGAUAUUUGCCCGAUCUCUGAUGGCGACAGAGCGGGUAAAGCCAGGUAAACGGUUCCUCCUUUAACUCUUUUUUUAUAUAUAUGUAUAUGUAUAUGAUUAAAAAUGGAAGAACAAAAAAGAAAAAUUGAAAGAAAAAAACGAAAGAUGCAGAAAAAAGAAGAAAGAAAAGCAAAUCACCUCAUUUCAAUUUUUUUUUGUUUAUUGAUUCUCUGCGUAAAAAAAGGGAUCUGAACCCUUUACAGGUUUUAGAACGACUUUCUAUAUGGCCGAGAGAAGAAAAAAACUAAAAAAAAAUACAAAAUUCUAUAUCCCCCCUGUUACAGGUUUUUUUGAAAGGCUUUUUAUAGCCCCCGAAAGAAAUGUAAAAAUAAUACAAACUUAUUAUUUUUUCUUUUUUGUUAUUUCAUUUUUCUCUGCAUUUCUCUUGUUGUUUGUUUGUGUGCUGCGUAGGUACAGCCGUACGAAGGUGCGGUGAUGUGGAGCGGCUCGGAGGCGUGGUUCGUGGGGCACGUGAGGACAACGGCGGCUGAAGGCUUAGGGUUUUGGUCUCUAGGGUUUGUAGAAACUGUUUGGUCAUUGGGCCACUAUUUUUUAGAUUGGGUAUGGGUUAAAUUAUUUUGGGUUGUAAUUGGACUGAUGUUAUUGUUUUUUUGGACUAAAAUUUUUUUAUUUUGAUUUGAUUUUUUUUAUUACGAGCUGGGCAAAUUGGGCCUAUUACAAUUAUGUUUGAGAUUGUGUGACAUAUUGCAUAUGCAUUGGGAUGAGAUUUUGUGGUUGACGGAGGAGUUUCGUAGAGUAUCGAUGGCAUAUUAAGUUUGCAUAUAUACGUAGUCAGUGCACUGCAUUUGGAGUACUGGGGGGGUUGGUGAUUAUAUCGUAUUAUUUGUUAUUUGGUGGUUC